UACGUAGGGCGCAAGCGUUGUCCGGAUUCACUGGGUGUAAAGGGCGCGUAGGCGGCCUGUUAAGUCGGACGUGAAAUCCCUCGGCUCAACCGGGGAACUGCGUCCGAAACUGGCGGGCUUGAAUUCGGGAGAGGGAUGCGGAAUUCCAGGUGUAGCGGUGAAAUGCGUAGAUAUCUGGAGGAACACCGGUGGCGAAGGCGGCAUCCUGGACCGGUAUUGACGCUGAGGCGCGAAAGCCAGGGGAGCAAACAGG
rnacentral:rRNA from 1 species